rnacentral:rRNA from 1 species
AGAGUUUGAUCCUGGCUCAGAGCGAACGCUGGCGGCAGGCUUAACACAUGCAAGUCGAGCGGGCAUCUUCGGAUGUCAGCGGCAGACGGGUGAGUAACACGUGGGAACGUGCCUUUUGGUUCGGGACAACUCCGGGAAACUGGAGCUAAUACCGGAUAAGCCCUUUGGGGGAAAGAUUUAUCGCCAAAAGAUCGGCCCGCGUCUGAUUAGCUAGUUGGUGGGGUAAUGGCCCACCAAGGCGACGAUCAGUAGCUGGUCUGAGAGGAUGAUCAGCCACACUGGGACUGAGACACGGCCCAGACUCCUACGGGAGGCAGCAGUGGGGAAUAUUGGACAAUGGGCGCAAGCCUGAUCCAGCCAUGCCGCGUGAGUGAUGAAGGCCCUAGGGUUGUAAAGCUCUUUUGUCCGGGAAGAUAAUGACUGUACCGGAAGAAUAAGCCCCGGCUAACUUCGUGCCAGCAGCCGCGGUAAUACGAAGGGGGCUAGCGUUGCUCGGAAUCACUGGGCGUAAAGGGCGCGUAGGCGGAUCUUUAAGUCGGGGGUGAAAGCCCAGGGCUCAACCCUGGAAUUGCCUUCGAUACUGAAGAUCUUGAGACCGGUAGAGGUAAGUGGAACUGCGAGUGUAGAGGUGAAAUUCGUAGAUAUUCGCAAGAACACCAGUGGCGAAGGCGGCUUACUGGACCGGUUCUGNNGCUGAGGCGCGAAAGCGUGGGGAGCAAACAGGAUUAGAUACCCUAGUAGUCC